UAAUUAACGCCAAUUAUCACUGCAUAAAUUAGUUUAAAUAUGUGUGCAUCUUUAUAUUUUUUCAUUUUCGGAGAACCUUGUUUUAGCGAAACACAGAAUCUCAGUUUGCAAGAUGGCUAAAUGUAACAUUCUUGUUGUUCUCUUUGCGCUCACAGUGCUCACCCAUACUGUGUUCGGUUUGACCUCGCUGGGUAACGAAGCACAUGUCUUGACUGGUGUGGGAAAGCGAGACAUGAAACGAAUGAAAUUCCAUGACGCAGUGCAAGCAAAAAGAAGCAAAUAUGCGAGAGAGGCUGCAAAGUACAAACGGUUCCUUGCUCACAAAAAAAAUCAUGAAGACUGAGAUCACAUCAGCGCUUCAAUAUUGCAUCUUAUUUGCGAAUGAAUAAAAUCUAAUUUAUCUUCAA